UACAGAGGGUGCAAGCGUUGUUCGGAAUUAUUGGGCGUAAAGGGCGCGUAGGCGGUGCGGUAAGUCUGUAGUGAAAUCUCUGGGCUCAACUCAGAGUCUGCUAUAGAAACUGCCGUGCUUGAGUGUGGGAGAGGUGAGUGGAAUUCCCGGUGUAGCGGUGAAAUGCGUAGAUAUCAGGAGGAACACCUGUGGCGAAAGCGGCUCACUGGACCAUAACUGACGCUGAUGCACGAAAGCUAGGGGAGCAAACAGG
rnacentral:rRNA from 1 species